rnacentral:rRNA from 1 species
UUCCGGUUGAUCCUGCCGGACCCCACUGCUAUUCGAGAUGGACUUAAGGUAUUGCUAGUCGAACGACCAGAACUAUGUCUGGAAGGUGGCCCCACUGCUCAAGUAACCACGGUAGCUUAACCUACCCUUAGGACGUGGAUACCCCCGAGAAAAUUGGGUUAAUCCGCGAUAGAUGUAAUGUCCUGGAAAUGGGUAUUACGUCCAAAAGUAUUCCAUACAUGUUUGGAAAUAUGCCUAAGGAUGGGGCUGCGGCCCGAUCAGGCUGUUGGUGAGGUAAUGGCUCACCAAACCUUUGACCGGUACGGGCCAUGAGAGUGGUAGCCCGGAGAUGGACACUGAGACAAGGGUCCAGGCCCUAAGGGGCGCAGCAACCGCGAAACCUCCACAAUGCACUCACGUGCGAUGGGGCUAUCUCGAGUGCCACCUGAUGAAGGUGGCUUUUCCUAGGUCUUCAAAGCCUUGGGAAUAAGAGGGGGGCAAGACUGGUGUCAGCCGCCGCGGUAACACCAGCCCCUCGAGUGGUGGGGAUGAUUAUUUGGCCUAAAGCGUCCGUAGCCGGCCGUGUAAGUCUCCCGUUAAAUCCAGCGUCUCAAGCGUUGGACUGCGGGAGAUACUGUACGGCUAGAGAGUGGGAGAGGUCAGCGGUAUUCUGGGGGUAGGGGCGAAAUCCUUUGAUCCCCGGAGGACCACCAGUGGCGAAGGCUGCUGACUAGAAC